rnacentral:tRNA from 1 species
ACCUGGGUGGUUCAGUCCGUUGAGCAUCUGACUUUGGCUCAGAUCAUGAACCCAUAGCUCAUGGGUUCAAGCCCCAUGUCGGGCU